AUGGUCCCACAGUUAUCAACACAUUUCCUGCAACAUCGCUUUUAAAACUACUUUUAUACACAACAAACAUCCGCCGACGCCUAAUUUAUCGUCAUUUCAUGUCAUUAUUGUCGCUUGUUGAGCUGGCGAGGCACUGGGAUGUUCCUCACACAAACGCUUCAUGUUGGAUUAACGUUAACGUUACUGUGUUAAUAAAGCACUGUGGUGACUUCAUAACGGACUUAAAGUCUGCAGGAUGUCUAUUGAUUUCGACAGCGCUGCUUUACAGACCCAGCAGGAGGAAGAGGAGUAUGAUCAGGAGGAUUAUGCCAGAGAACAAGAGCUCCACAAGCUCCUGACUGAUCUCCCUGAUGAUAUGCUGGAUGACAGUGCCGACUGUUCCUCUCCAGAGCUCAACCACUCCAUCUGCAGUCAUCCAGGAGA